GAUGAACGCUGGCGGCGUGCCUAAUACAUGCCAGUCGAGCGAACAGACGAGGAGCUUGCUCCUCUGACGUUAGCGGCGGACGGGUGAGCAACACGUGGAUAACCUACCUAUAAGACUGGGAUAACUUCGGGAAACCGGAGCUAAUACCGGAUAAUAUAUUGAACCGCAUGGUUCAAUAGUGAAAGACGGUUUUGCUGUCACUUAUAGAUGGAUCCGCGCCGCAUUAGCUAGUUGGUAAGGUAACGGCUUACCAAGGCAACGAUGCGUAGCCGACCUGAGAGGGUGGUCGGCCACACUGGAACUGAGACACGGUACAGACUCCUACGGGAGGCAGCAGUAGGGAAUCUUCCGCAAUGGGCGAAAGCCUGACGGAGCAACGCCGCGUGAGUGAUGAAGGUCUUCGGAUCGUAAAACUCUGUUAUUAGGGAAGAACAAAUGUGUAAGUAACUAUGCACGUCUUGACGGUACCUAAUCAGAAAGCCACGGCUAACUACGUG
rnacentral:rRNA from 1 species